rnacentral:lncRNA from 1 species
UUUAAAUACAAUUUUUCUUGUGGAAACAAUCCACAGUGUUUUGUUACGCCGCUAACCAGUUCAUUCUUAGAAAUACAUCAGGGUCCCCCGUGUCAAUCUCUAUCAGGUCCAUCAUGGGUGAAACCAAGUCCUAUGGAAGAGAGACCAGAUAUUACUGGGGAGUGACUGGGUGGCCCUGUAACGGUGCCGGAUGAUACGGUGGGAGCUCCGAAUUGUAUUGUAAUGGUGUCAGAUGAUACAAUGGAGGAGCAAGGUUACAUCGAGGUAGCAUUAAAUCCUCUAGUUGUAGGGGUGGCUCAUAGUAUGGAAGUGGUGAAGGGUCAAACAGUUUCUUCCUCACUUUCCUGGCUUACUGAGCAAAGAUGAGUCUAUCUAAAAUCUCAAAGAAUCGAUCGACAUACUCUCGAAGCAACCCGUCUCGGGCUGCCCUAUUCAGUAAGGGACCUCAUUUUU